UUGCGUUCUUUUGAUAGUAUAUUUCACAUGAUGUAUUGAUCAAAUAGCCCAUGUAAAACAGAAAAUGUCGUGAUCAAUAAAACCUGCAGUAGAAAUUUUAUGAAAUCUUCAUAAUUUCUACAGGAAGUUAGGAGGAAUGAAACCUCUACAAAAAGGUUACGUCGCUGAUAUUGGGUGAAGAUAAGUGACGUUGCCAGCCCGCAAGUUUUAGUCAUGGUGCAUAAAUUUCAAAUCAUUGUCAUUUAUCAACCGAAAUAUUUACCUAGCUAGCACAACUAAUGUUGUGAAUUGGUUAAGUCCCUCCUGACGAAAGUGUAAUUAACAUAUUUUGCGUGAAUUUCUACGUGAUUGCAUCUUUACACAGGGAAGUAUGUUAACUCUGCUCCUUUCCACGUUUGUCUAUUUACCCCUAUGUUGGACUGCGGUUUUGAAUGGUAUCUUGGUAAUUGCUUUUAUUUUUUUUAUGUUGAUUGGGUUUGUCAGGCAAUCCUGAUCCUGCCACUUUUAACAACAAUUAACUUAGUUUAGGUUGUAUUGGCUUCGUUCGUCUGUUUGUCUGUAAAAAUGAUGAUUAUUAUACUUACAAUUGAUAGAAUGUUUUGAUUGAACAUUACCUUUUGACAAAAAGGUCUCUAUUGAAUUUCAUACAUGAAAUUAAGUGAAAUUGAAAUUUCAUGCAUGAAAUGAACGGUUUCAUGAGGAAGUAAAACAUUUCUUUUAGAAGAAUUUUGAAAAUAAUUCUUUCCAACCGAUAUUAGUUGUAAACAAGGUUCUAAUACAUAGUCGCCAUUGGCUAGUUCUUCCCAUGAAGAUAUGCGAUUAUUACAAUAGUCAACAAUACUAAACUUUACAUCAAGUACGGAAAUGAAUUCCAAGCAUGGUCGUCUCAAGACGGUGAAACAACUCUCAUUCUGUUUAGAAAAUAUUUUAAUUUUUAUGUGUUUGUAGUGCUAUUCCAUUUGGAUUUUGAAGGUUUUGCCGAGUGGUACUAGGUGUGUAAUAUUUCAUAACUGCACUCAAUUCAAUCUCAAAGCGUUUUUCAUAUGUCUCGUGGUGACGGGGCAGAAAGCACGGAUUUUUUUGCCAUCAAUGCAAGCCUCCAAACCUACUACAGCAAAGGAAUCGUCCACAGGCGUACGAAAAAACACUU